rnacentral:lncRNA from 1 species
GAAGGAGGGAUUUAUAUAGACCACACAUUCAAGGAAGGAGUCUGCCUAAGUAUUGCAUUUAUCGUUCCAUUGUUAGGCCGAUUUCGAUCGCCAUUUUGUUGUGUAGUUAAUGACGACUUGUUAUUUGCUAACUUGACGAGUUAGCGACGUGCAUUGGUUUGGAAGUGUAUGCAUGUGUGAACCACGAUGAGCGUUGCACAAUAGCAAAGCCCUGUUGAAAGGAUAAGUCCUUGAGUGCCUCGAGUAGGAAUCGCCGAACAUCGUCAUACAGCAUGUUUUCGUUGAACGAUCGAUCUUACAUCAUCAACCAUUGGAUGAGUUACAUGUGACUGAAGAGUCUUCAGUCACAUGUAAGUGGAGACAAACAAACGGGGCAAUGGCAACAAUAGAAUUAGUCAGCUGUUUUUUAUAUAGAAUUACAUGUAUGGUGGCCAUUAACAAUCUGGCAGGUCCAACCAGGGAAUGAGUUGCAUGUGACUGAGACCAACAAAUAGGGCAAUAAAAUUUAGAAUAUUGCAGUCUUUCUAUCAAUGUUUCAUACAAGCUUCUUGUCUUCUACAUCCAUUAGGGUCCAGGUAAACAAUGAAACCAAAAACAAAUGAGGCAUUUUUUUAUUGGCUUUUUGUUUGUUGUUAUUGUUACACUAAACUUUCAUAAACGAUGAAGUGAACCAACUAAUACAAGUCUUGCUAACGUCUGUAAACGGAUUUCAAUUAUCGUUGGUUAUCUUGUUCGCGUUCAGUGUCAUUAAACGACUACGCCUAAAAUAAACGCCAGAAACUAGCAGUUGGUUUUGGAUUUUUCAUGGCGUUUUUUUUUCAUCUCUUAUAAUAAUGAGCACAAAAGAUUAGGAUGUAUCAAAUUUCAAAUCAAAUACAAAAAAAUCGGGCUUGUUUUGUCGGGCUUGAUUAUUAGUCAGACUUUUUCAUACAAAACUCAACUUACAAUUAAGCAUGACUUUUCCCUUUUUUUUUGGCUGCGGUUGCAGGGCGUUUCAUGUUACUGUUUCGUCUUGAUGGUUAAAGUUUGAAGAAAGAUGUAAAUGUUAAAUUAAUAUGAAGUUUACAAGGUCGCUUAAGUUCAUUAGCCGAAAUGUGUACAUUGACCUCUUUCGGUUGCAUUAUCUGUCAGUCUUGAAUACGUACAAGUCUGAGGAAGAUGUCGGAUUUGUCCAGCAUAACAUCUUGCUCCGUGUGAAGAUCUUCGUUUGAUAAUACCCGUCCGGCAAAGGUUUUGGCGUGUCAUCACCGGUACUGCAGCGAGUGUGGCGAUAACUUAUUAGACGAUGAACUCUUCACAAUCAAAUGCCCGCUAUGCCGUACCGUUACCAACGUAAGUGGAGGUCACGCUAACAUAGAUUUUCACGUCCGUACGGACUACGAUUUCAUGUCUCUGGUCGAACACGAGAAGUUGUCUUCGUGCUGAAGUACAGGGCCAGCACCACCAGCAGCCGGCCCAUCUCCGAGUGCCGUGAUAUCUUCAAAAGAUAUGACUGAAGAAAACAGAUUCAUCUUGUCAUCAAGUACUUCUACUGAAUCAACCGAUUCUACCCAAAUGGAGAAGAAAAAUGCUUCAGCUAAAGGAAAGGAGCUGAAGAAGAUAAAAAAAGAGGAAAAUAAAGAAAAAGAAAAAAAACAAGAAAAUGGAUUUGAACAGCCACCGUAGUUCAUCGGAAAGCUCGAGUUCGUCGUCAACAUCACAAUUGUUCUCAGCAAGUGACAGCUCAGCCGAGGAAAAAUCGAAAAAGAAGUUUAACCACAGGAGCAAUUACUUGGCAUCACCAAAAAGCGAAAUGAAAUGCUUAAUGAAGAAAUUUUCUAAAAAGCCUGCUCUAAAAAUAGCACUUAAGGAUGAAAAGGAUCUUUUACAAAAGAUGUAAUUCCUGAUAGCAACCGCUGACGCCAGAGAACCACCUCCUACUUUGGGGCAUGAAAGUUUUUCAGCAUCCGGCCUUGGAUUGCGCUGCGACGUAAAAUUUCGUUGCAAUGGGUCGCCAAAUAAUGUUUUUUGCGUAUUCAAGAGGACUUUUCCACGUCUAAACGAAAUAGACCAAUUCUACAUUUGCACCAAGUUGCAGAGACUCAGCCGUCAAUUACCAAUGAAGCACUACACAACACCAACCGCCCACUUACUUAAGGUAAUAUAGAUAAGUUAUUCAUUUUAGUCAAAAAAUAGAGUUAUGUUUUUCUUUCCACUUAGCGAUUUCAGGGAAAAUUGAUUGUUCUUGUUCCCUUGAAGAGGGGUAUUCAGUACGAUUUUGUCGGAAGAGAUGGUGGACAUCUACGAAAAAAACGUUCCUAUAACAUUGUGGUCUAGUCACAUCGACCUGUGCACCGAGAAGAGAAAAACUUGUCAAGGUUUAACGGAAUUUGUCUGUUUCUCUACGUGCUCUUUAAACUUAAACAAUUCAGACAAAACUGUAAUGUGAAACGCCCGUGUUUGCUUGGAAUUAGAAGAAUGAAUAGCCAUGUACAUAAUGA